GUGGGGAAUAUUGGGCAAUGGGCGAAAGCCUGACCCAGCAACGCCGCGUGAAGGAAGAAGGUCUUCGGAUCGUAAACUUCUAUCCUUGGUGAAGAUAAUGACGGUAGCCGAGAAGGAAGCCCCGGCUAACUACGUGCCAGCAGCCGCGGUAAUACGUAGGGGGCAAGCGUUGUCCGGAAUGAUUGGGCGUAAAGGGCGCGUAGGCGGCCUGGUAAGUCUGGAGUGAAAGUCCUGCUUUUAAGGUGGGAAUUGCUUUGGAUACUGUCGGGCUUGAGUGCAGGAGAGGUAAGUGGAAUUCCCGGUGUAGCGGUGAAAUGCGUAGAGAUCGGGAGGAACACCAGUGGCGAAGGUGACUUACUGGACUGUAACUGACGCUGAGGCGCGAAAGUGUGGGGAGCAAACAGGAUUAGAAACCCCUGUAGUCC
rnacentral:rRNA from 1 species